UAAUUAAAUUUGGUUACUGGGAAAAAUUAGCUCUAAAUUCUUUAUAAUUUAUGCUAGAAUUACAUUAAAUUAGAAGAUAUAAUUUAUUUAAUAAUAAAAUAUUAUUGAGAUUUAGACUAUUCUCUAGUUAAUUUUGUGCCAGCAACAGCGGUUAUACAAAAAGAAUACUUUUUCUAUUAAAAAUUUAAUUUUUAAUUAUAUUCAGUAUUUAAAAAAUAAGGUGAAAUUUAUUUUUAAUUUUAAAUUUAAUUUAAAAUAAAAAUUCUAUUAUAAACUAGGAUUAGAUACCCUACUAUUAUGAGGUUUAUAUUGUUAGUAUAUAAAAACUAUGAAAACAAAAAAUUAUGGCGGUAUUUUAAGCUUUUCAGAGGAAUUUGCUCUUUAAUGGAUAAAACACCUUAAUCUUACUAAAUUUGGUUAAACAGUUUGUAUACCACUAUUUAAGUAAUAACUUGUUAUUAUUACUGGAGUUUACUGAUAUAAAAAAAGUUAAGUCAAGGUGCAGCAUAAAAUUUAGUAUGAAGUGAAUUACAUUUCUUUAUAGAAAAAAUAGUUGAAAAUAAAAUUUAGGAUUUGAAAGUAAAAUUUUAAUAGGAAGAAAAUUUGAAUUUAGCUCUAAAAUAUGUACAUAUCGCCCGUCGCUCUUUCUUAAAGAUAAGUCGUAACAAAGUUAAAGUACUGGAAAGUGCUUU
rnacentral:rRNA from 1 species